rfam:Actinomyces cardiffensis F0333 genomic scaffold SCAFFOLD7, whole genome shotgun sequence.
CGCGUAUUUCGCCCAGGCGGAGCCAGGCCGCCGAUAAGAGACAUCGAUGGGUUCAUCGAUGAGAACCGGGCAGAGUACGGGGUCGAGCUGAUCUGUGAGCAGCUGGUGUCAGCCGGUGUCCAGGUCGCCCCG